UAAAGANUUGGUCCUGGUNUUUUUAUCAGCUNUAACCAAACUUACACAUGCAAGUAUCCGCACCCCCGUGAGAAUGCCCAUAACUCUCCCACCGAGAACAAGGAGCCGGUAUCAGGCACAACCCCCCAUGCCCACAACACCUUGCUCAGCCACACCCCCAAGGGAACCCAGCAGUGAUAAAUAUUAAGCCAUAAGUGAAAACUUGACUUAGUUACGGUUUACAGGGACCGGGCAAAACUCGUUGCCAAGCCGCCGCGGGUUACACGAGAGGUCCAAGUUGAUAAACAACGGCGUAAAGGGUGGUUAAGGAUAAGAAUUAAACUAAAGCCGAACGAUUCACAGAGUCAUUUUCAAGCUAACGAGAACAUGAAGCCCCAUCACGAAAGUAGCUUUAACACAACCCUGAAGCCACGAAAGCUAAGAAACAAACUGGGAUUAGAUACCCCACUAUGCUUAGCCGUAAACAUUGAUUAUACCAAUACACAAUAAUCCGCCCGGGAAUUACGAACAAAAGUUUAAAACCCAAAGGACUUGGCGGUGCUUAACAUCCACCUAGAGGAGCCUGUUCUAUAACCGAUAAUCCCCGUUCAACCUCACCCCCCCUUGCUAAUAGCCCGCUUAUAUACCGCCAUCGUCAGUCCACCCUAUGAAGGCCCCACAGUCGACAAAACCGGAACAACCCCAAACGUUAGGUCGAGGUGUAG
rnacentral:rRNA from 1 species